GAAACUUUAAGUCCAGCAAGAAUGUAUAAAAUCAGAAGUACAAUAUAUAAUUGUGAAUGAUUCACCCAUUCAGUAUACAGAUCAAACAUAGACUUCUUUAAUUCACCACUUUCGGUUUUGUUGAAUUUUACCUUAAAAAAAACUAUGGUUUUAGUUGACAUCAUUCGUGCAUUGUUAGACAUUGUCAGUUUCUUCCCAUGUUGAGCGAAUGUAUAUAAAACUAGAUGUUAUAUUGCACAACUUUUUUGGCAAAGUAAAUUCUUAUAACUAUAGUCUUUAGGGAAUUGUAAUUAAGUACCUACACAACAAAUAUUAUUUCUAGAUCAUCCUGCACAAUGAUGAUCUUAAAGAUGCUUGUUGAAUUUUGAUAGUACAGGGAUAUAGGCAGUCCUCUCUAUAUGGUAAAUGACUUCACAAAGGUGUACAUAAUUGACUCACUUAUCCGGUGAAGGGAUGGAAAGUGGACUAUUUACAUGGAAUCAAUUUAUUUAUAAUGUUUGGAGAAAUACAAUACAUUUGAGAAAAAAUAUUUUAGAUGUGUGAUUUUUUUUUCUAUUGAUGUAAACAACUAUACAUUAAAAGGAUUUUCUUAAUGUGACAAGUACAUAAAUAAAUAAUUUGCCUGUUUAAAUUUGUGACCAGUAUUUUUUUUUUUGAAAUGCUUACCUGCAGACGGCAAAUGCUUUAUUUGUAUAAAUAUAUUGUUCUGUUAUUAAAUUGCAGCAUUCUUAGGAUAAGAAAAUAUAUAAGUUGUUGUCUAUGCAAAACUUGCCAUUACCAAAGGAAAAACAAAGACAAUGAAUAAUAUAUUAAAAAUCAAAAACAUGAUUUGACAGUAAAUUUAUUUUUUUUGCAAGCAGAAAAUUGGUUUUCCUAUUAUAAUUUACAAUUUAUUCAUGACAGUGAAGCCCUAUGGUUUUUCAAGUGUUGGAGGUUACCUUCUAAAAUAUGUACAGACACAAAAACUUAAAUAACAUAAUACUCAAUGAUCUGUCUCGACCCACUGUCUCAGCUCAUAUACAGUGUAUGGAUAAGUUAAUGUUUAAGAGAUAAGUAGGUGGGAAGAUUUGCACAAAGGAAUAUACAAAUCAAAACAGGGUUUUUGAGAAUACAUAAUUUUUUGAUUAGCAUUCAUAAUUGAGUAAGAUGUUAAUUAGAAUUUGAAAUUGCUGGAUAUAAGAUAAUGUCAUGUUCCCAUGAAUAAAAAUGAUUUUUUUG
rnacentral:lncRNA from 1 species